GAUGAACGCUGGCGGCGUGCCUAAUACAUGCAAGUCGAGCGAACAGACGAGGAGCUUGCUCCUCUGACGUUAGCGGCGGACGGGUGAGUAACACGUGGAUAACCUACCUAUAAGACUGGGAUAACUUCGGGAAACCGGAGCUAAUACCGGAUAAUAUAUUGAACCGCAUGGUUCAAUAGUGAAAGACGGUUUUGCUGUCACUUAUAGAUGGAUCCGCGCCGCAUUAGCUAGUUGGUAAGGUAACGGCUUACCAAGGCAACGAUGCGUAGCCGACCUGAGAGGGUGAUAGGCCACACUGGAACCGAGACACGGUCCAGACUCCUACGGGAGGCAGCAGUAGGGAAUCUUCCGCAAUGGGCGAAAGCCUGACGGAGCAACGCCGCGCGAGUGAUGAAGGUCUUCGGAUCGUAAAACUCUGUUAUUAGGGAAGAACAAAUGUGUAAGUAACUAUGCACGUCUUGACGGUACCUAAUCAGAAAGCCACGGCUAACUACGUG
rnacentral:rRNA from 1 species